rnacentral:rRNA from 1 species
UACGAAGGGGGCUAGCGUUGCUCGGAAUUACUGGGCGUAAAGGGCGCGUAGGCGGAUAUCUAAGUUGGGGGUGAAAGCCCGGGGCUCAACCGAGGAACUGCAUCCGAUACUGGCGGGCUUGAAUCCGGGAGAGGGAUGUGGAAUUCCAGGUGUAGCGGUGAAAUGCGUAGAUAUCUGGAGGAACACCGGUGGCGAAGGCGGCAUCCUGGACCGGUAUUGACGCUGAGGCGCGAAAGCUAGGGGAGCAAACGGG